rnacentral:rRNA from 1 species
ACGCUAGCUACAGGCUUAACACAUGCAAGUCGAGGGGCAACAUGCCGGUUGCUUGCAACCGGUGAUGGCGACCGGCGCACGGGUGAGUAACGCGUAUCCAACCUUCCCGCGACCAAGGGAUAACCUGCCGAAAGGCAGACUAAUACCUUAUGUCCUCCUUUGAAGGCAUCUGACGAGGAGCAAAGAUCCGUCGGUCACGGAUGGGGAUGCGUCCGAUUAGCUUGUUGGCGGGGCAACGGCCCACCAAGGCUUCGAUCGGUAGGGGUUCUGAGAGGAAGGCCCCCCACACUGGAACUGAGACACGGUCCAGACUCCUACGGGAGGCAGCAGUGAGGAAUAUUGGUCAAUGGGCGGAAGCCUGAACCAGCCAAGUAGCGUGCAGGAUGACGGCCCUACGGGUUGUAAACUGCUUUUAUGCGGGGAUAAAGUUGCCCACGCGUGGGUUUUUGCAGGUACCGCAUGAAUAAGGACCGGCUAAUUCCGUGCCAGCAGCCGCGGUAAUACGGAAGGUCCGGGCGUUAUCCGGAUUUAUUGGGUUUAAAGGGAGCGCAGGCCGCCGUGCAAGCGUGCCGUGAAAAGCAGCGGCCCAACCGCUGCCCUGCGGCGCGAACUGCCUGGCUUGAGUGCGCCGGAAGCGGGCGGAAUUCGUGGUGUAGCGGUGAAAUGCUUAGAUAUCACGAAGAACCCCGAUUGCGAAGGCAGCCCGCUGUGGCGCCACUGACGCUGAGGCUCGAAGGUGCGGGUAUCGAACAGGAUUAGAUACCCUGGUAGUCCGCACGGUAAACGAUGGAUACCCGCUGUCCGGCCCGUACGGUCUGGGCGGCCAAGCGAAAGCAUUAAGUAUCCCACCUGGGGAGUACGCCGGCAACGGUGAAACUCAAAGGAAUUGACGGGGGCCCGCACAAGCGGAGGAACAUGUG